rnacentral:rRNA from 1 species
GUUUUGAUGUAAUCAGAUUAACCGCUGACGGGAUGCUUUAUCGCAGUCGAACGGCAGCACGGACUUCGGUCGUGGUGGCGAGUGCCGAGCAGGUGAGUAAUGUAUCCGGAACGAUGCCCUGUUGGCGGGGGGAUAACUACGCGAAAGCGUAGCUAAUACCGCAUACGCCCUUCGGGGGAAAAGCGGGGACCUUCCGGGCCUCGCACUAGAGCAGCCGAUAUCGGAUUAACUGUUGGUGGGGUAACGUGACUUCACCAAGGCGGCGACGAUCCGCCGUAGUUUGAAGGAACGACAAAGCCACACUGGGACAAGUUGUGAGCUCCUACGGGAGGCAGCAGUGAAAUUUUGGACAUAUGGGAAACCCUGAUCCAUGCAUCCCACCGCGUGUGCGAUGAAGGCCUUCGGGUUGUAAAGCACUUUUGGCAGGAAAGAAACGGCACGGAUAAUACCCCAUUCGCUGACUGUACCUGCAGAAUGUAGCACCAAUAUGCCUGCCAGCGGCCGAUAAUGCGUAGGUGCAAGCGUUAAUCGGAAUUACUGGGCGUAAAGCGUUGCAGGCGGUUCGGAAGAAGAUGUGAAAUCCCAGAGCUUAACUUUGGAACUGCAUUUUUAACUACUGACUAGAGUGUCAGAGUGGAAUUCCAGCGAUGUGGCAGUGAAAUGCGUAUGAUGUGGAGGGGCACAAUGGCGAAGGCAGCCUCUGGGGAUAACACUGACGCUCAUGCACAGCGUGGGGAGCAGAGCAGGAUUAGGUGCUGGUACGGUCCACGCCUAAACGAUGUCAACUGGCUGUUGGACGCCGGACCAGUAGCCCCAACCAACGUGAAGUUGACCGCCUAGGCGAUACGGUCGCAAGAUUAAAACUCAAAGGAAUUGACGGGGAUUGCAAGCGGUGGAUGAUGUAGUUAAUUCGAUACCACGCGCCUGAAACCUUACCUACCUGUGUCUGGAAUCCCAGCGAAGAGAUUUACUGGAGUUGCUCGCAAGAAACCGGAACACAGGUGCUGCAUGGCUGUCGUCAGCUCGUGUCGUGAGAUGUUAGGUUAAGAAUCCACAACGAGCGCAACACACUUCAUCGACAGUUGCUACGAAAAGAGGCACUCUGACAGAACACGUUGACGAGCCGGAGGAAGGUGGGGAUGACGUCAGAGUCACUCAUGACGCUUCUUAGGUGGGCUUCACGUCAUACAAUGGUCGGGACAGAGGGUCGCCGGCCGCGAGAGGCCAGCCAAGGCCUUGAUGGCGUGAUCCGGAUCGCAGUCUGCCGCUCGACUGCGUGAAGUCGGAAUCGCUAGUAAUCGCGGAUCAACAUGUCGCUACGAUAAACCGUUCCGGUCUUGUACACCGCCCGUCACACCGUAAUUAGGUUUUACCAAGUAGUUAUUAGCUAACCGUAAGGAGGGCGAUUACCACGGUAAGUUCGCGGCUGGUGAAGUCGUAACAAGGUAA